GAUGAACGCUAGCGGCAGGCCUAACACAUGCAAGUCGAGGGGUAUAAAAGAGCUUGCUUUUUUAGAGACCGGCAAACGGGUGCGGAACACGUACGCAAUCUGCCCUUAUCACGGGGAUAGCCCAGAGAAAUUUGGAUUAAUACCCGAUAGUAUUAUAAUAAGGCAUCUUGUUGUAAUUAAAGCUAUGGCGGAUAAGGAUGAGCGUGCGCAAGAUUAGCUAGUUGGUGAGGUAACGGCUCACCAAGCGACGAUCUUAGUCUGAUGUGAGAGCAUGAUCAGCCACACGGGCGACUGAGACACGGGCCCGGA
rnacentral:rRNA from 1 species